GCCACACGACAUGUGUGCAUCCCCGGCUUCCUAUAAAGUCUUUUUUAAAGCGAACACAGUGUACUGUUCACCCAAACGCAGGCUGGCCGAGCCCACGGCUGCUCCCUCCCCCUGCCAACACGCUCUGCCCCCGGACAGCUGCAGGUCUUGAACCAGCCCAGGGGUUCCCUGAUCCAUCAUUCCUGCAGACAUGAUCAUCAGACUGGGCAGGCUCACUCCUGGAUACUUCCGCCUUCUCCAGAGGCAGGUUGCCGGCGAGGUCCAGACACAGCCACACGACCGCGCCGUCAACCAGAUCGCCAUGAUGCUGGCCAUCAUGGGUCUGAGUUUGUCCUACUACAGUGCCAAGCAGAUGACGGAGAAGGUCCAUGUCCAGCCUGCACCCUGAAGAGGCGUGGCCGAUGCGUCGUCUGGAGAUGAUGGAUGAACCAAUGAGAACCAGAGGAAAUAAAGGAGGGGGAAUCAAGAGACGGGGGUGUGUGUGUUUGGGGACAGCACUUGUUCUCACCUCGGUCGUUGAGCACAACCAUUCACUGACUUCCUGGGAUCCUUCACGUAUCUACAAACAGAACUUUAAGGGUCAAUUAAAGUUUUUUUUUUUUUUCACACUUUCUGUUGCAAGAACCUCCAGAGAUUUGGGGGAUUUGAUUAUUUGGGGUCACGAGGGGAACUGGUUUAGGUGUGUGGAAACCAGCUUACUGCCAAAUGGGUCUGAGCAUUAGUCAUUACAAAGGUGCAUGCUUGCAGGAUGACCUCAGUGCUGUUCUGAUCCGUAAAAAGGAGAAAAACCUUCACUGUGAAACACGUUUUGGCCAAAAAAAAAAAAAGGGUUACAUAUUCUGAAUGCUCCUUUGUAAGGGAAGGCUGACUGGGCUGUACCUCCCAAUGAAGUGAUGGCAGACCCAGAGUAGGGAUAAACAGGGGAUAACUCGUUUCCUUUUCAAUCCUUUGACUUUGUUUUUCAUUCUCUACCAGAAUAUUGUGGAGCCCUCUGUACAGAUACCAAGCUGUGAUCUGUUUUAUACACGUGAGCUGUAUCUAUCAGUGAAUAUUUGCACAAAACUAUCGAAACCUUUUUAAAACGCUAGAGUGGAUCCGCAAAGGGACUCUGAAAAACUCGCCGUUUAAUGUGUGACUUCAUUGUUUUAACAAUCCACAAAGUCGUCUGUGUGUGAGACUGUUAAUGAGAGCCUUUCGUGCAGGAUCCGCACAUUUUUAUCCAACCGUGUAACUUUGGUGAAACGCAUGUCUGUGUAGAAAGUAAUAAUUGCAAUUUCCACGAGUCUUGUUUGUUUUUUUUGUUGUUUUUUUUUAAAUUGAUGAAUGAAUGUAUCACUUUAUUUUGUAAAGAUUCAAUAAAGCUGUGAAUAUUUUAAGAGA